GAUGAACGCUGGCGGCGUGCCUAAUACAUGCAAGUCGAGCGAACAGACGAGGAGCUUGCUCCUCUGACGUUAGCGGCGGACGGGUGAGUAACACGUGGAUAACCUACCUAUAAGACUGGGAUAACUUCGGGAAACCGGAGCUAAUACCGGAUAAUAUAUUGAACCGCAUGGUUCAAUAGUGAAAGACGGUUUUGCUGUCACUUAUAGAUGGAUCCGCGCCGCAUUAGCUAGUUGGUAAGGUAACGGCUUACCAAGGCAACGAUGCGUAGCCGACCUGAGAGGGUGAUCGGCCACACUGGAACUGAGACACGGUCCAGACUCCUACGGGAGGCAGCAGUAGGGAAUCUUCCGCAAUGGGCGAAAGCCUGACGGAGCAACGCCGCGUGAGUGAUGAAGGUCUUCCGAUCGUAAAACUCUGUUAUUAGGGAAGAACAAAUGUGUAAGUAACUAUGCACGUCUUGACGGUACCUAAUCAGAAAGCCACGGCUAACUACGUG
rnacentral:rRNA from 1 species